UAACGGGAGGCAGCAGUGGGGAAUAUUGCACAAUGGGCGCAAGCCUGAUGCAGCCAUGCCGCGUGUGUGAAGAAGGCCUUCGGGUUGUAAAGCACUUUCAGUCGUGAGGAAGGUAGUGUAGUUAAUAGCUGCAUUAUUUGACGUUAGCGACAGAAGAAGCACCGGCUAACUCCGUGCCAGCAGCCGCGGUAAUACGGAGGGUGCGAGCGUUAAUCGGAAUUACUGGGCGUAAAGCGCAUGCAGGUGGUUUGUUAAGUCAGAUGUGAAAGCCCGGGGCUCAACCUCGGAAUUGCAUUUGAAACUGGCAGACUAGAGUACUGUAGAGGGGGUAGAAUUUCAGGUGUAGCGGUGAAAAUGCGUAGAGAUCUGAAGGAAUACCGGUGGCGAAGGCGCCCCCCUGGACAGAUACUGACACUCAGAUGCGAAAGCGUGGGGAGCAAACAGGAUUAGAUACCCUGGUAG
rnacentral:rRNA from 1 species